ACUCAAAUGAAUUGACGGGGGCCCGCACAAGCAGCGGAGCGUGUGGUUUAAUUCGACGCAACGCGAAGCACCUUACCCAGCUUUGACAUGGACCUGCAUCCGGUGGAAACGCCGGCGCCUUCGAGGGUGGUCUACAGGUGCUGCAUGGUUGUCGUCAGCUCGUGUCGUGAGAUGUUGGGUUAAGUCCCGCAACGAGCGCAACCCCUGCCGGUAGUUAUCUGUGUCUACCGGGACAGCCGGCUUUUGGCCGGAGGAAGGCGGGGAUGACGUCAAAUCCGCAUGGCCUUUACAGCUGGGGCGACACACACGCUACAAUGGCCGGCACAGCGCGUCGCGAGCCCGCAAGGGGGAGCCAAUCGCCUAAAGCCGGUCCCAGUGCAGAUCGAGGGCUGCAACUCGCCCUCGUGAAGACGGAGUUGCUAGUAACCGCGUAUCAGCUAUGGCGCGGUGAAUGCGUUCCCGGGCCUUGUACACACCGCCCGU
rnacentral:rRNA from 1 species